GACGAACGCUGGCGGCGUGCCUAAUACAUGCAAGUUGAGCGCUGAAGGUUGGUACUUGUACCAACUGGAUGAGCAGCGAACGGGUGAGUAACGCGUGGGGGAUCUGCCUUUGAGCGGGGGACAACAUUUGGAAACGAAUGCUAAUACCGCAUAAAAACUUUAAACACAAGUUUUAAGUUUGAAAGAUGCAAUUGCAUCACUCAAAGAUGAUCCCGCGUUGUAUUAGCUAGUUGGUGAGGUAAAGGCUCACCAAGGCGAUGAUACAUAGCCGACCUGAGAGGGUGAUCGGCCACAUUGGGACUGAGACACGGCCCAAACUCCUACGGGAGGCAGCAGUAGGGAAUCUUCGGCAAUGGACGAAAGUCUGACCGAGCAACGCCGCGUGAGUGAAGAAGGUUGUCGGAUCGUAAAACUCUGUUGGUAGAGAAGAACGUUGGUGAGAGUGGAAAGCUCAUCAAGUGACGGUAACUACCCAGAAAGGGACGGCUAACUACGUG
rnacentral:rRNA from 1 species